rnacentral:rRNA from 1 species
CCAAUAGCGUAUAUUAAAGUUGCUGCAGUUAAAAAGCUCGUAGUUGAAUUUCGGGACUAAUAUGUCGGUCGUGCCUCGGUACGUACUGGCAUUGUUGGUUUCUCCUUUCUGAAGAACCAUGAUGUCAUUUAUUUGGUGUCGUGGGGAAUCAGGACUGUUACUUUGAAAAAAUUAGAGUGUUUAAAGCAGGCUCACGCUUGAAUACAUUAGCAUGGAAUAAUGAAAUAGGACGUUUGAUUCUAUUUUGUUGGUUUCUAGGAUUGACGUAAUGAUUAAUAGGGAUAGUUGGGGGCAUUAGUAUUCAAUUGUCAGAGGUUAAAUUCUUGGAUUUAUUGAAGACUAACUACUGCGAAAGCAUUUGCCAAGGAUGUUUUCAUUAAUCAAGAACGAAAGUUAGGGGAUCGAAGACGAUCAGAUACCGUCGUAGUCUUAACCAUAAACUAUGCCGACUAGGGAUCGGAUGAUGUUAAUUUUUUAAUGACUCAUUCGGCGCCUUACGG